AAAAAAUAAAAAUAUUACAUCGAAACAAUAUAUAAAUAAUUUCGUUGCAUCAAUCUCACGCACACACGGUUGACAUGAGAUAAAAGAAUCUGAAGGUGCCCUAACUUUCGAUAGCUACCUGUAGGAGAGAAGAAGAGAAAAAGAAUAAUAGAAAGAAGGAAAGAAGAAAAGGAAAGGAAAAAUUAGGAACAAAAUUCGCUCUCUAAAUGCUACUUCGAAAACUACUAAGAAUAUGGCGGUCAAUGCCAUCGCUUGGCUACUAUUAGCCGAGAUGCCUGGUAUAUAUUUUCGUCGUGGCCUACUAAUACACUUUAUGAAGUAAGUCUCGUCUUGAUUCAUUCCUCUGUAGGCUCUGAUAAUUCAGAAUAUUAAAAAUCCUAUUAUAUGCCAAAGAGAUUAGCAAUAGUCUCAUAAAUUUUAACGUAUGGUAUCGGUACAACGAUAAACAAUGAUUGGAAAUUCGAAACGGGACAUAUGCUAAUCAGAGAUGCAAACCGGUUCUGAAGCGGUGGGCCAACCCAAAUUUGGAUGAACCAAAGGCAAACCCUAAAC